rnacentral:rRNA from 1 species
UACGGAGGGGGCAAGCGUUGUCCGGAAUUAUUGGGCGUAAAGCGCGCGCAGGUGGUUCCUUAAGUCUGAUGUGAAAGCCCACGGCUCAACCGUGGAGGGUCAUUGGAAACUGGGGAACUUGAGUGCAGAAGAGGAAAGUGGAAUUCCAAGUGUAGCGGUGAAAUGCGUAGAGAUUUGGAGGAACACCAGUGGCGAAGGCGACUUUCUGGUCUGUAACUGACACUGAGGUGCGAAAGCGUGGGGAGCAAACAGG